rnacentral:rRNA from 1 species
AGUGAACGCUGGCGGUAGGCCUAACACAUGCAAGUCGAACGGCAGCACAGUAAGAGCUUGCUCUUACGGGUGGCGAGUGGCGGACGGGUGAGGAAUACAUCGGAAUCUACUUUUUCGUGGGGGAUAACGUGGGAAACUUACGCUAAUACCGCAUACGACCUACGGGUUAAAGCAGGGGAUCUUCGGACCUUGCGCGAUUGAAUGAGCCGAUGUCGGAUUAGCUAGUUGGCGGGGUAAAGGCCCACCAAGGCGACGAUCCGUAGCUGGUCUGAGAGGAUGAUCAGCCACACUGGAACUGAGACACGGUCCAGACUCCUACGGGAGGCAGCAGUGGGGAAUAUUGGACAAUGGGCGCAAGCCUGAUCCAGCCAUACCGCGUGGGUGAAGAAGGCCUUCGGGUUGUAAAGCCCUUUUGUUGGGAAAGAAAAGCAGCAGGUUAAUACCCCGCUGUUCUGACGGUACCCAAAGAAUAAGCACCGGCUAACUUCGUG